rnacentral:rRNA from 1 species
UACGUAGGCGGUUUGUUAAGUUUGGCGUUAAAUCACGGGGCUCAACCCCGUUCAGCGUUGAAAACUGGCAAACUUGAGUAGUAGAGGGGACAGUGGAAUUCCUAGUGUAGCGGUGAAAUGCGUAGAGAUUAGGAAGAAUACCGGUGGCGAAGGCGACUGUCUGGAUACAUACUGACGCUCAGGUACGAAAGCGUGGGGAGCAAACA